GGGCCUUGUGUCUGCACCUGCAUAUUCCUAAACCUUCUCAGCGUCUUUGGACUGUGACUGAGGAGACAAACCAUGCAGGAAACAGUGCUAUUUUACUGCCCCAGAGUAUUGUUACAUAUAGUUUGAGGCUGGGAUAGGACUAAAUUAUUUAUUGUUUUUCAGAACCUUCUUCACCUGCAGUUUUCUUUCUAGACCAGAGGUGAGAGGAUUUUAGAGCAUGUCUCAACAGCUCGUGGUGUUACUUGUGAGUGAGAUAUAACCUCUGUGAAGACUUCUCAGGAUGAUGAUAAAGAGACUGUCUCGAAAGUAGAGAUAGGCUCUGAGAGAACGAACAGGCCCUAAGCUUCAGUGUCUUAGAAAUUACCUAAAUUUAUGGGGAUCUGGGCCGCCCCCGCCCCCAUUGCCACACCACUGCCACAUCAGCAUUAGGUUUGCUGAAUAAGGACAUGUAUGUUUGGAUUGGCUAUACCAAUUUUCGAGCCUAGAUUGUAAGCCCACCUCCCAGCCAAGGGGAAGAAGGGAUAGAGGUGGGUAGGGGUUUGUUUAUGUUAGGGUAUAUUAUCUCCUUUUGCUUUCUGUGCCUUGCCUCUCUCCUGCUGGUAGUGCACUGUGCACCAGAGGAGUAGAUGCCCCUUCUCUGGAUUGUGAUAGAGUGUGACUUUUGCUUCUACCUUCAGAGGUCUCUGAGUUUAAUUGGGUGAGGGUCACUGUCCCACAAACUUGGGAUCAAGUGGUCAUGCAUAUGUGAUUUUAUUGACCCAAGGUUGAUACCUUUUUAAAUUUUGUGGUUUUAAAAAAUGGAUAUUUCUCCAGUGAAACAUGCAAAAGUUAUAGCUCUUAAAGAGCACACUUCAGUGACUGUUCGGGAUAUUGCAGCAGUUCUUGGUAUGGGUAAGUCAAGUGUUUCAAGGAUCAUUCAAGUGCACAAUGAAACUGGAUCAGUCUCCCCAAAGUGCAAAGGUAAGUGUGAUAGGAAAAGGAAAACAACACCAAGCAUUGACAACCUUUUGCUGCAAAAUAGCCUAAUUAAUCCUGAAAACAAGCCAGACCUUCAGAGGGACCUGGCCACUGGAGGAGUUGUCACUGAUUUUUCAACAGUGCGUUGUAGGCUCCUUGAGAUUGGCAGAUCAUCCAGAAUACCAGUAAGAAAGCAGCUGUUAACCACAGCUGUGUGGGCAUGACAAUACAAAGACUGGAGUGUUAAAAAUUGGAAAAAGGUCAUUUUUAAUGAUAAAACUCACUUUUUCAUUCAAGUUUAUGUGGAAAUGUUUUGGGGUUUUUUCACUUGCAGUGGGCCUGGAAGUCUUGUCUCCAUUGAGGGACCAAUGAACUCUGAUAAAUAUAUUGAAAUAUUGAAAAGCACAGUUACUCCAGAAUUGCAGAAAAUCUCAGAUGGAGAUGGAGUGGUGAAAUACUGUCUUGCAUCAUGCUGCAUCUCCCAAAAAGUUAAUAAAUUUAUCCAUGAGAUGGAGAUAAACAUGCUUCAGUGGCUUGGGAACUCACCUGGUUUAAACCCCAUUGAAAACCUGUGGGAUAGAAUCAAAGCUGGACUUUGGAUUUCUCCAAUGGACUGCUCAUCAAAGGCACAUUUGAUAGCCAAUGUGAAAAAAGUAUGGUUUCAUGAUGAAUUACAGAAUGUGUUAAAAUCUUGUCAAUUCCAUGCCAAAUAGUGUAACGCAAGUGAUUGCAGCGAAAGGAGGACAUGUUAUUGAAAGUUGCAUGUUAGAUAUGUGAAAACUUGUAAGGUUUUGUGUAUACAUUCAAUAAAUUCUGUAAUUUUACUUGUC